AUCAAAAACAGAGUCGACAGGUGACUUUAAAAUUAAAUAUAUUGUCGAUACCUUCUGCCCAGUGUUUAAUUAUAAACGGCCGCAGUACCUUGACUGUGCUAAGGUAGCAUAAUCAAUUGGCUAUUAAUUGUAGUCUAGUAUGAAUGAAGUAAUGAAUAGACGCUAUAAUAAGAAAUAUUUUAUGAAUUUAUUAAUCUGGUGAAAAUACCAGUAACUAGAAAAAAGACGAGAAGACCCUUAGAGUUUUGAAUAACAUUUGUGACUAAAUUUCAAUGACUAAUUUCAUUGAGACUAUUAUAUCAAAUACUUUUUUGUUGGGGCGACAAGAAAGCAUAAAACCUUUCUAAUAACUAAAUAAUUAAAAAUCUGACGAUGUUUAUAUGAAUAAAUAAACUACCUUAGGGAUAACAGCAUAAUGAUAAAAUUUAGUUUGUGACCUCGAUGUUGGACUAGGGACUUAUACACUAACCGGGAUAAAAGAUUGUUCUGUUUCGAACAGUAAUCCCC
rnacentral:rRNA from 1 species